UUUGGCUUCGGAGCUUCUAGACAAUUGACAGUUAGAAUUAUUGGGGACUUAGAAAUUUUACACCCGUAUUUUGAAUUUCUCUAAUAGAUGAGAAUUUCAAAAUACUGGUAAAAUUGCUAAGUCCCCAAGAGGUACCGAACUAUAAGUAACAUAUCCUAUACAUAUAGGUACAUAUUAUUAUAAGAUAAUCUACCAAGCGAAGUGAGGUUUUUCAUUUACUGUCUUA